rnacentral:rRNA from 1 species
AACGAACGCCGGCGGCAUGCCUAACACAUGCAAGUCGAACGAGACCUUCGGGUCUAGUGGCGUACGGGUGCGUAACGCGUGGGAACCUGCCCUUAGGUUCGGAAUAACUCCCCGAAAGGGGUGCUAAUACCGGAUAAUGUCUUCGGACCAAAGAUUUAUCGCCUUUGGAUGGGCCCGCGUUGGAUUAGCUAGUUGGUAGGGUAAAAGCCUACCAAGGCGACGAUCCAUAGCUGGUCUGAGAGGAUGAUCAGCCACACUGGGACUGAGACACGGCCCAGACUCCUACGGGAGGCAGCAGUGGGGAAUAUUGGACAAUGGGCGAAAGCCUGAUCCAGCAAUGCCGCGUGAGUGAUGAAGGCCUUAGGGUUGUAAAGCUCUUUUACCCGGGAUGAUAAUGACAGUACCGGGAGAAUAAACUCCGGCUAACUCCGU